rnacentral:rRNA from 1 species
GAGUUAUCCAACUCCCAAACCCAUGUGAACUUAUCUCUUUGUUGCCUCGGCGCAAGCUACCCGGGACCUCGCGCCCCGGGGGGCCCGCCGGCGGACAAACCAAACUCUGUUAUCUUCGUUGAUUAUCUGAGUGUCUUAUUUAAUAAGUCAAAACUUUCAACAACGGAUCUCUUGGUUCUGGCAUCGAUGAAGAACGCAGCGAAAUGCGAUAAGUAAUGUGCGUCAUUUCAACCCCUAAGCACAGCUUAUUGUUGGGACUCUACGGCUUCGUAGUUCCCCAAAGACAUUGGCGGAGUGGCGCGUCAUUUCAACCCCUAAGCACAGCUUAUUGUUGGGACUCUACGGCUUCGUAGUUCCCCAAAGACAUUGGCGGAGUGGCAGCAGUCCUCUGAGCGUAGUAAUUCUUUAUCUCGCUUUUGUUAGGCGCUGCCCCCCCGGCCGUAAAACCCCCAAUUUUUU